GACGAAGGGGGCUAGCGUUGUUCGGAAUUACUGGGCGUAAAGCGCGUGUAGGCGGUUGUCCAAGUUGGAUGUGAAAGCCUUGAGCUUAACUCAAGAAAUGCAUUCAGGACUGGAUGACUAGAGGACCGGAGAGGAUAGUGGAAUUCCCAGUGUAGUGGUGAAAUACGUAGAGAUUGGGAAGAACACCAGUGGCGAAGGCGGCUAUCUGGACGGUUUCUGACGCUAAGACGCGAAAGCGUGGGGAGCAAACGGG
rnacentral:rRNA from 1 species